GAAGUACAUUUGCAGCGUUGACAAACAAAUAACGGACUUCCGCCAGCUGGGUUUUGCACAGACCGCAACAUGAGAUCGGAUCGGUAUAAGCUGAGGCAUCAUCGGACCUGGCGAUCGGAACACAUCGCAGCACGGUACGGACUGGCAGAGAGGUAGGGCACCUGCUGACGCCGCUUCAUCAAGGUAUAUAGGUGAACUGUUUCUCCUGCCGAUCUCCGAAAACAAGAUGGCGACUGUGUUCAGUCAGCCGCUGACCCUGCUGGCGCUCGGGGGCAGCAUCCAAUGGGCGCUGACCCAAGACGACACGACACCCAAAGAUAAAUCUGCGUGCUGUGAAUUUUACGGAAUCAACUCCAAGAAGUACCAAAAAUGCUGUAAAAAUGAGGGAACAUGCGACUAUACCUGUCCACCAAAAUUAUCCGAUAAAGAAGAUCCCUUCGCGUGCUGUCUCUUCUAUCAAAACAACAAGGACGUGUUCCGAAAAUGCUGCGAAGAGCGCGGCACAUGUAGCUUCUUCUGCCCGAUCAAAUUUCCCCACGGACAAGGAUGCCUUGUCAAAGGUAAAUGGU